UACGUAGGGGGCUAGCGUUGUCCGGAUUUAUUGGGCGUAAAGAGCGUGUAGGCGGCCAGGUAGGUCUGCUGUGAAAACUCGAGGCUCAACCUCGAGACGUCGGCGGAAACCAUCUGGCUAGAGUCCGGAAGAGGAGAGUGGAAUUCCUGGUGUAGCGGUGAAAUGCGCAGAUAUCAGGAAGAACACCCGUGGCGAAGGCGGCUCUCUGGGCCUUACCUGACGCUGAGGAGCGAAAGCGUGGGGGGAGCGAACAGG
rnacentral:rRNA from 1 species